rnacentral:rRNA from 1 species
UACAGAGGUCUCAAGCGUUGUUCGGAUUCAUUGGGCGUAAAGGGUGCGUAGGCGGCGAGGCAAGUCUGGUGUGAAAUCCCGGGGCUCAACCCCGGAACUGCACUGGAUACUGCUUUGCUAGAGUACUGGAGAGGGAACUGGAAUUUACGGUGUAGCGGUGAAAUGCGUAGAUAUCGUAAGGAAGACCAGUGGCGAAGGCGGGUCUCUGGACAGUUCCUGACGCUGAGGCACGAAGGUCAGGGGAGCAAACGGG